rnacentral:rRNA from 1 species
UACGAAGGGGGCUAGCGUUGCUCGGAAUCACUGGGCGUAAAGCGCACGUAGGCGGAUUGUUAAGUCAGGGGUGAAAUCCUGGAGCUCAACUCCAGAACUGCCUUUGAUACUGGCGAUCUCGAGUCCGGGAGAGGUGAGUGGAACUGCGAGUGUAGAGGUGAAAUUCGUAGAUAUUCGCAAGAACACCAGUGGCGAAGGCGGCUCACUGGCCCGGUACUGACGCUGAGAUACGAAAGCGUGGGGAGCAAACAGG